AUCGAAAAAGUGAAAACCCUCUAUCAACCUAAAUCCUCUAUCAACCUAAACCCUCAAUGGCGAAAAACCUCCAUCAGCAAAAAAAACCUCCAUCAGCGAAAAACCUCCGCCCACGAAAUACUCCAGAAAUUGAAACCAGACCUCCAUCAACAAAUUGAGAACGAAAUUACAGUUUCAGACACAAUCACUUAGGCACCGCACGAAGCAGUCGGCGAACGUACCCUUCCAAAACCGUCUUCGGUUCGUCCUCUUCCUCUUCUCUAUUUGUAAUUUGAUUUAGUGAUUUGGUUUAGUUUCUAGGUUUGUCUUUGUGUUAGUUGGUUCAUUAUUGCUUCUUAUAGCUUACAAUGAGGAGCAAUUUUAUGAUUUGUUGCUUAAAGCUUCAAAUUUUGAAUUUAAAUGGAUUAAUGAGAGUUGAGGGGUUCCUAUAUUGUGUACAUGAUUACCAUUGUUGGAUGAUUUAGGCUUUAAAAAUAUGUUAUGUGUUUUAAUGUACUUGGUAGUUUAGUCUGAGGUUAAUUAACCCUACGGCGAUGGUUAUUGCUGUAUCCAAAGCACCUUAUUAAUUGGUUAUUUGUUUAUUUGAUUUAUGACGAAUGAAGUGUGUGAACUUUGAGUUUGAUGUAACGUUGUUGCAAUGGCUAUUGAAUACCGGAAAAAAUCUAUGAGUUUUAUCGAAUUUGCUUCACUCGAGCAGUCGAUCUUGCCUUGUUCUUCUAAAUUGCCCAUGUCUAUAUUUGCUUGUUGGAGUGUGGGUUCUAUGGGGGGAAAUUAUUUUGACCAUGUUUUUCUAAGUUGCUCAUAGGGGCCUGCUUGAAGGUGAAGCCAAUCAAGCCAUCUUUAUUUACAGUAUAGUAGUAGACUUUAAAAAGUUUAUAGAAUACGUUUGUAGAUGAGUUGAGUUUUGGGGGUUUAUACAAUUUUGUAUCUGCUAAUUGGUUUAGCUGGGUUGGAAGUCUUUGCACUUGAGUGAUAGUGUGAUACGUAUUUCCCUAUUGGGUGAUGGGAUGGGGGAGACGAGAUCACAAGAGUAUAAGUUGCUGAAUAAAAUGGCAUUCAUAUUCGUCAGUCUUUCCGAAAGGAUAUGAAGUCUUGUUCGAAUUGCUUACUUUAACAGAGGUUUAGUUUUUCUAGUUUUGUAUUUGUGUUCGUUGGUUCAUUACUGUUUCUUACGACAGACUUACUGAAAGGGUGUGAAGUCUGUUUCUUACUAUUGAAUAACUCGUGUCCAGCUGAAUAAAUUGAUUAAGGAAUAAUAUUAAAUAAAUAAAAGUUAGAAAUUAACAGGGAUUGUGGCCACAGGGAUCUUGCAGCUUUCUAUGAGUUUCUGGAUGUGUGUGCUUAAUUUCUCUUGGAUGUUUAUAGGCAUAGUUCUCCAUGUGUCGUGUUGGGCCAAAGUUCAGUGCUUUCAAGGAAUUUGUUUUGGUGAUUAUAUUUGCAGAUGGUCUAUUUGAUCUCUAAAUGAGUAAUACAAGGUUGGGUAUUGAUCAUCAUAGGUUUUCUUAGCUUUGGACUGGAAAUUUACUGCAGCUCUUGCUGAUGCUGUCUGGUUUUAAUUUAAAAUUGCUGAUCUUGUAAGAUGGACAUCAAAUUAUCGAGAAAGGUUAUUUUUUACAGGUCAUAAUCUAAAUUUUCAGAGGUCCAUCUUUUUGUUUGGAGUACUGUGAAGUCAUAUACUCAUUAGGUUUAAGAGGGUUACACAACUUUGUCUCCAUCGAGUUUGGCAUCUUUUAGUUGUAGGAAAAUUGUCAAAUGACUCAAAUCCUAUUUCUUAUACGCACCUACAGAUUCUGCAACAUAGUUUGGACCUUCCAUCUUACAAGAUGGAAUGCUCAAAAUUGAUGAGUUGCAGGAGAAUGUUAAAAUAGUUGCAUACGAGUCUUAGCUUCUCACUCAGUAGUGUGGUCAGGCCGUAUAUAAUGUUAUGAUAAGUUCUUCACAUUUUGUGUUGUAGAGUUGUUUGUGCUCACCCAAUUUCCUUUGACUGUUGUUGGGGAUACUCAAAACUUAUGAACUUGUGGAACUUCAUUUACAUUGUGACAAAACCAUUCUCCCAUUAGAUUUGGUUGCGGCAUUAUUCUUGAAAAAUAAGAAUUAUCGAAAUAAGAAAUCAGACAUACUGUUUUAUUGAGAGCUAGUGUUAUUCAUACAUAAACAUUCAUAACGAAUUAGGUUUAAUAUCUUCUUUUUAAAUUUCCUGUAAAUAGCCUCGGUAAUUAGCUACCAUGUUCAUCUUUGAACCGUGUUUCUUUAUAGGUUUAGUGAUUACCUGUUCAGGCUUAAAACCGGUAAAUCUAUAAUAGACAUCAUGUCCCUCCGUUAUCAUAUGGAUUAAUUGCCUCAAGCUUAGCUCUAUAAUAUAGCUGUGUGUGUGUCUCUCUAGUCACAAUGCAGAAGAAAGAAGAACCAUAAUCUUUCAGAGUCGAUAUCAAGUGAUCCGUCUUCUAUUCUCAAUACCUUUGACCUUGUGCUUAAUGAUGUUAUCAUCGUUUGACAUCUCAUCUACAUUGUUUAUGUGAUUUUUCUAUUAGCAAUCGAGAUAAACUCCUGCAGAACUGUUUCAGAUCACACACAAAAAAUAGCUAGUUCAACAUUUAUCUUAAAUUUUAAAGAAAAGAGUAAGAAAAUAUCAGGGGUAGAAUCCUGAAUAUAUCUCUUUAUAUAUUCCUGAUUCUCUAGCAGGUUUUGAUACUUCCACAACAUAAUUUUUUGGUGCCACUUCAAUUAUCUCAUCCAACAGGUUAAAAGAUGAACGAAACUUUGAUUUUAGUUGUAUUUGCAUCGUGCUGUUACUCAUCCAUUGAACUGAAAGACUUGCAUCCCUUGCUGCUUUCUCUAUCUUUUCUAUAGUUUCAGUGAUUGUGUAUUUUGAUCCCAGCAUUAUCAUGUUGUUCUUGUCGUCCUGUUUUUCAAGAUACCAAUUAAUCUAAUGAGUGCAGUUCUUAUUAGUAAAAUUUACUACUUAAUUUGAGAAAAUCACUAGAGAAUCCUCAUUAAUCAAAUUUAAGGGGCAAAACAUAUUUUGGUUUCAUGUUUGUAGACUUGCCUGCUCUUCAAAUAGGGUUGACAAAUCAAGGUCUCUAGAUAUUGCGACCAGUUGGAAUGCAUUGAUAAAUCCUUGAGUUUCAGGGACAAUUUCUUUUUCUGACCUUUCCUAAAAAAAGGCUUGGCAAUUAUUUAGCAUGUUCAUCUUUGAACAACACGUGUUUCUUGUAUAGGUUUAGUCAUUACCUUUUCAGGCUCAAAAACUGCUCGAACGUCAUCUGUGUAGCUCUUUCCUUGAAAGUAAAUUCCUGCAGCAGGCUUAUAAUCUCUCUGAAACCACUCAUCUUCAACAAAUUCUUCUAUUGUAAUUCUCUGCAGAAAACAGAAGUCGAGGAUGGUUAGAUCAAUCUGUUGUUUUUAAGUGAUCCUAUACUUUCAUAUGAAUUUAAAUCGUAUACCUUUUUUGAAUGGGGAUUCAAUAAUCUGCCAAUAAGUUGCUUCUGACUUGGUGUAAACCAAUUUGGACAUUCAUACUCAACUCUCAAUAUCUAUGCAGAGGAAACUUUGCCAGAUGAAGAGUUCUUUUGUAUGAUAAAAAGUGUUUUACUGUUUAUUUUGUGAGGAAAAAUACCUUUGUGUACAAAUUCAAUAGAUUUGGGUCAAUGAAUGGUAGUUAACCAGCACACAACUCAAAUAAGAUCACUCCACAAGCCCAGACAUCUGCAACUGCUCCGUCUUUCCUCUUACCUCAGGUGCUACAUAGCUUGGAGAACCACAUGCUGUCAACAACAAACUUCCAGGCUGUAGGCAUCAGUUCAGAAAUUAGUAAGCGAAACAUUGGGUAAACGAAUUUCACUUUGAUGAUAAGUAUGUACCUUUUGCAAUGCACUGAGUCCAAAGUCUGGUACUUUGAGGUUUCCUUGGUUAUGCAAAAGCAGGUUUUCUGGCUGCAUAGUAAAUGAAACAUGUCGAUUGGGUCAGUCAGCUGGUUUGAGUUCUUAUUUGGAUCGGGCAAUCUAAUGGAGUUCAGAGUUCAGUAUAGCUACAUCUUUCAGCUGUUUACAAUACCUAUAAAUCGCUGUGAUACACUCCUCUGGAAUGGCAGUAGUCUACUGCUGGAAGUAUUUUGUUGCAUCACUUUACUUCUCCAACAUUUCACUCUGGAGGUAUAUACUCAAGAAAUUAUCGAUAUAUGUUCGUGAAAGAUGGUGUGGAUUUUUCAUUGAUAAUUGUUUAUAGUUAAUUAAUUUCAGUUUGACACUUAGUUGGCAUAAACUUCUCAAAUUCGUGUCUAGGAUUUUCUAAUAUGUAAAAAUACAAAAGUAUUAUGUAUGACUUUUAUCAAUUUUUGAGAUUAUAUUUCA